rnacentral:misc_RNA from 1 species
GGGUUUCCCUAUGGGUAUAGGGUCAACGACUGUCUUUACAGUCGCUUUCCGUUGGGUCACCCAUCGCCAGGGCACUGAAUCAUUUAACUUUAUUGUAUUUCAUAUCUAAAAUUUUUCCUAAAUUUUUGUUACCAUUAUUUCAAUUAUUUAUGGCUCCUCACUCUAGUCUAAAUAUAGUUCUAGACAUUCUAACUGUCCGGACUGAUACCGGUCACCAGAAUAGUAGAAUGUACGGACUUACUAAAGUGAGGGUGUUACAGUGAUAAUAAUUUUCUAAUAAAUAUAUAGUUGUAACCUAGUUGCUAAAUUUAACGCAUGGUUAUAAUUUAGCUUAAUCAAUUAUAAAUAGAUGUUUUAAGUUUUUAUCAUUCACAAGAGAAAUAGUUUUAUGUAAUAUAUUCAAAGUGUCUCUAGCUUGUAUGAAAAUUUAAAAGUAAAUAAAAGAUCUUGUAGUAUUUUUCCUCCUCCCGUAAUCAACAUAGUGUUGCAUGAAAUUUUUAGACAUUUUGGUUGAAUUUAGGAGCUCUAUUGUAGCAAUACAUUGUUUCUUUUGUGCCUAUGGUAAGGGAACUAAUUAUAUGGUACAUGGAGUGUCUAGAGUGGCAUUAAGAUCAACAUGAUUGUAAGGGUGUGGUGAGUAUUCCCGAGCAACCAAUAUCAGUAUCAUCAUUAUUUGACUUGCAAGAAGUAAUAAAUCUUUCAUUAGCACAACUCCUCUCAACGUGUAUAUAAUUUCAAUUUUUCAUUUAUGAUCUCAAUCAUUUUAAUUAAGAUGCUCUCUCUUUGCAGAUUUUUUGCGUCAUAAAAGAAGCACUGCCAACCCAGGUCUUCAAAGUUUGAUUCGAUUCUUGAAGUCAGUUUCCAAGUUCUAAAGAAUUCAAGUAGCCUUUUUACGUAGUGGUAUCUAAAGUUGGAACAGUUUUAUCUAAGCCUCCUUUGUAAAUGUUUAUUAUAAGUUUAAAAAUCAUAUAACUAAGCUUAAACAUGGACAUGCUCCGUAUACAAUAAUGGACUCCUUGCAAAAGGUCAAUUGUCUUUUUAGCUAUUGUAAAUUGCUAUCAAUCAUGAACAUAUAUCUUACUCUAAACUUGACCCUUUCUCCAACCAAACCAGCAAAUAUAUCCCCAAGUCUAAUUCUAUAAAAAUUCUCCUUCAUACUCAACUCAACUAAGUCUUUA